AAGUCGUAACAAGGUUUCCGUAGGUGAACCUGCGGAAGGAUCAUUAACACGUAUCCAAACGUUAAACCCCCCUGUGAACCUUCAGUCGUACUCGUACGUCCGUUAGAAAAAGCAGCAAUCCCUGGUAAAUCAUCGCCGAACAGUUUUCGAUUCAGGGACGUCUGCAAGGAGCGUCACUAACGUUAGUGUCUGAAAGUGUCACUAACAUGUGUAAGGAUGACGCAGUCACGAUCGUUGGAGGCCCACACGGCCGACGACCGGGUCACUGGGUGCAAGCCCCCUUAUCACACCCCUGCUCUAUCUAUGGUGAUCCUGCGGGAAGUCCUGCGGUCGAACGCCGAAACCGAACAACUGUUAACAAUGGAUAUCUUGGUUCUC
rnacentral:misc_RNA from 1 species